GUGCCAGCCGCCGCGGUAAUACGUAGGGUGCAAGCGUUAAUCGGAAUUACUGGGCGUAAAGCGUGCGCAGGCGGUUAUGUAAGACAGAUGUGAAAUCCCCGGGCUCAACCUGGGAACUGCAUUUGUGACUGCAUGGCUAGAGUACGGUAGAGGGGGAUGGAAUUCCGCGUGUAGCAGUGAAAUGCGUAGAUAUGCGGAGGAACACCGAUGGCGAAGGCAAUCCCCUGGACCUGUACUGACGCUCAUGCACGAAAGCGUGGGGAGCAAACAGG
rnacentral:rRNA from 1 species